GCGGUAGUUUUCAUUUUCUUUUCAUAAUUUCUUUCAUUUUCUUUCAUUUUUUGUACAUUAUUUUGCUAAAUCUAAUUAUGUUGUUCAAUAUUAACCAAAAUCAGAAAUAAAAAAUCUAAGAUCUAACUAAAUCUAAGAUUUCGCGGCGACGCUUCCAAUCUCCUCCUCCACGCUUCCACUACGAUUCCAAAAGACUCAAUUCUAGAAGCACGAUUCCGCUUCCGUUUCCGGUUCAGAAGCGAGAAGCGACACAUCUCCGGCGAUUCCGUGCUACAGCCGAAAAAGAGUGCUUUCAAGCAAGUCCGUUUUAAGACACUGAAACUAACGAAUCGCUCUCUUUACUCAAGCUUCUUGGAGUUGAAAGAACAGCUACGUCACAGAGUAUGCAGCUAGAGGUCAGCUUCAUAAAGAGCUACAAAUAUGCAACUACUUCUGCGCAGCAACUACUAGUAAGAUUUUGGAUGGUCUGCGCACACGUUCAUGUCUGGCACUCUUGAUUACCUUCCACCUGAGAUGGAUGUUGGUUAAGGAGUCUAACGUUUGACCUUGCACAAGCUUCUUAAGCACCAAUGAUUUGUGCAAAACGCGGAUACAUCAAGCAUAUACAGAC